CGCUCCCCUUCUGGAACUGCGGUCAAGCCAGCACGCACUCGCAAAGUCGAAGUCAAGUGAGCCCGCACUGCGAUUGGCAAUGCUCUGCAUUACGAACAUCCGAAAAGAAGGAAUCCAGCACCCCGGCUCUCCACCCAGACCACCCUCGUCCGGAUCAGAUGUUGCAUUUUGAAAUAAAAGGCCUCUGAAAACUGG